rnacentral:pre_miRNA from 1 species
UCUUAUGGAUGAAUAGAGUGGUUUCUUGAGAUGGAAUCUACUCCUGGUGAAGAUGCUGUGAA